AGUUUCAAUCUGAAACUUUGAAUAACUUAGGGCUUUCAAGCUUUGUGUGAGGUGUUUGGGAUUGAACUCGACAACAUUUUUGUAGGGUCUCCAAUCCUCUCUGAUUCGUUAUUUCCGCCUCCUUUUUAUAGGAGAAUUUCUUUUUAGGAUAAGAAUUGGUGAGCUGUAUUUUGAAGAUAGUACUAAAUCCGUUAGGGAUUUCUGCGCAUCCCUAAUUCUAUGGAAGUUGUUUUGAGUGGCGUUGCCACUACUUCUUGUUGGCGAGAAAUCUUGUUAAUCAUCACAUGGAGGCACACCCGAACGAAAGUGAAAUAUAGCAGAGGAAGACCAAAGAUGGACGCUUCCAUAUCAUAGCUCACUCUCUCCGCUUGAACCCUAUUAGCACGGUGUUGAUUAGGAUGUAGCAAGAUUAAAACAUUAGCUUGGCUUAUGAGAAAAACAUAUGUUCGUAAUCUUAAUCAUUGCUUGUAAUUUUGAUGGCAACAUGUGCCUUUGGACAUUUUUGGCUUUAACUUCUCCCUCCUGGAUGUUAGUUUUGGGCCUUCCUUAAAGUGAAUUUGGAAGUUGGGUAACAAACUUAGGCCAGAUCUUAUUUUCUGUGAAUUGUAAACUUAUUAUCCUAAUAAUGACCAAAUGGAUGAGUUAUAUUUAGAAACAAA